rnacentral:snoRNA from 1 species
UCUCGGUGAUGAUAAACAACCUGCUGAGCUAAAUGUAGUUGGUCCUUCAUUAGCAUCGACUGAUGUUUACUGUCCGUUUCAAGACGGGGCUGAGAGAAGC